GUUUGUGAAAGUGCCAUUCAAAGACUCCAAGAAAUUCAUAAAGUUGCAGAAUGGAUUCUCUUUUACAGAUUUCAUAAAUGAAUAUGGUGCUAGCUGCCUUGAAAGAAAAAUCAAAAGGAGAUGAAGUCCUUGAAGAGUACAUGGCCACCGAUACCUUGUCAAAUGAAAUGAGAAGAGCGCUUGUUAACAUACUGGUGGGGCACAUGACAGAGAGGCAUGGGAGGAUUCCAACCCAGAAGCAGAGAGAGCAGUAUGCCCUUGGAAUUGUGACUUUGUUUCCAUCAUUGAAAGACCCAUUUUCCAAGAAGGGAUAUGUCAGACUUUUUCCAUGAAAUUAUCA